ensembl:snRNA U6 U6 spliceosomal RNA
GUCUUCUUUUAUUAUACAUCUAGUAAAACUGGAAUGAUAUAGAGAAAAUUAGCAUAGCUUUAGUGAAAGACUGUAAUCCUCGUAUUCAUGAAGCACUCCAUGUCUUU